rnacentral:lncRNA from 10 species
CAUUUAAAAUUAUAAUUGCAGAUGACAAGAUAUAUUAGUCACAUAAACACAGCCUCAUAAUAUAUGUAAUGAAAAAAGUCAUACAAUAGCACUUAUUAUAUUGUCUAUUUGUGUAAAAUAUAUAUACCUAGAUAGGAGUAUGAUAUGCUCCAGUUGUUAACAGUAUUUGUAUCUGGAUGGUGGAAUCAUUGGUGGUGAAUAGUUUUGCCUUUUUAUCUUUUACACCACAGGUAUUUUGUGUUUAUAAUAAGAAAGAAAGCUUAUUUUUUUCUCAUUUAUACCAGUUUCAGAAGCUUACAAGUGCACAAAAAUGUUUCCUGCCGCCCCCACCAAGAUGGAACAGGGACAAGAAGAACUGAUCUGCAUCAUCCUCUAGAUUCUGUGUGCGCUUCCUGAUCCAUGCCUCCAAAUGACAAGGGUUACAGGCAUGCAGCAAUGAAUGUAGGCAAAAUCCUUUCUGUAUCUAAUUCAAAACACCAGUACCCCCAGUCUAGCAAAGGAAGUGAGAAUGCCCCAACCACUCUAAUCAGGGACAUGGACAGUUCUCCCAGCAGAAGUAAUGAGGGCCUCCUCUUGAGUCAAGAAGAUACUAUCUUCCCUCUGAAUCCACAAAAUGAAUCCACAAAAGCUCUAGUAGCUAAUUUUUCCUUUCAUUAAAAUAAAACAGGUGGUACAGUAAGUAAAGAGCUUAUCAAUUGCACAUUAAACUAGAGGUAAUGGGUACUGUACUCUCUGUAUUACGUUUUCUAUUGCUGUGUAACAAAUUACCCCCAAACACAGUAGCUUGGCACAGCAAAUGUGUGUGACCUCUCACAGCAUCUGAGGGUCUGGAAACUAGUAAGGUGGGGCUGACUCAGGGGCUCUCACAAGGUUGCUGUCAAGUCAGGGCUGCAGUCACCUGAAGGCUUGACUGGGGCUGGAGGAGCCACUUCCAAGUGUGCUCACAGUGUUCAUGGCUUCAGGCCCUCACUGGCUGUUGGCUAGAGUCCCCAUGGCCUCUCCAUAGACUGUCUGCAUGUCCUUUUGACAUGAGAGCUGGCUUGAGAAUUAGUGAUCUGAUAGAUGAGGGGAGAGAGAGAGAGAGGGAGAACAUGAGAACUAAUCUUAAAAAUAAACUCCACUGGGUUCUGCUGUGUCCUAUUGGUCACAUAGAUCAACUCUGCCACAGUGUGGGAGGGGACUACACCAAGGGUGAACACCAGGAGGUGGGGACCAUCACAGGCCAUCUUGAAGGUCACUGACCACAUUCCCCAAUCAAAGGCCUGCCUCCCCAACACAGCCCACCACCACUACCUCAGUCAGAGAACUGGGGACUCAGGAACUUAAAGCCAUCUCAAAGAAAUACAGUUGGGAGACCAUGGUUGCAAAUGAGUCCACGAAAGCUCUAAUAGCUAAUUUUUCCUUUCAUUAAAAUAAAACAGGUGGUACAGUAAGUAAAAGAGCUUAUCAAUUGCACAUUAAACUAGAGGUAAUGGGUACUCUAUAACUCAUUUCCAUUUCAUUGUGCUUUGCUUACUAGAAGCUUUCAGAUUUCCCUGGCAGCAGUUUCAAGGAGAUUCUGAUAGACUUAUUUUGCUUAGAUGCAGACACUGUGCACACUGAGAAGGCUUUUUCUCUGUGUCUGGUCCUAUGUGCAGUGUUAGCGUGGCUGUCAUAGAUUUGCUCUGCGUCUUGCUCUGGCUAUUGUCCUAAAGGCACAAUUUUGGCCAAAUGUAGUUUACUACUUGGUUAAGGGGAAGUGAUGUGGGGAGAAAUCACAGUCCCUCAAGGCCUAACAUCGAGGGAUUUAAAGCCUUAACAACUGCCCAUGCCUACUUCAUUCCAGAGCUCGUCAGAGAACACCCAGCAUAGGACCUGGGCUCUGCGGGCCCUCCCACCUCCCUUAGCUCCUGUGCUACCCAGCCCUUGCAGUACAAGCUGUACCUGUUGUCAACCUCCACUCACCACACCUACCCCAAGCCCAGACCACAUUAACCUCCAUGGCCACAGCUUCCUCUUCACCUCUUUCUGCCCUUUCUAGCUUCCAGCUAACUAAAAAAAUUAUUACCAACAAGGUCAACUGACAGUCUCCAUAUACUUGCCUCUAAAUUUUGGAAGGUAAUUGCUAUAGUUUGAUUAUGGUUUAUUUGACCCCAAUAAAUUUCAUAUUGAAAUUUGAUCCCCAAUGUGGUGUUGUUAGGAGGUGGGGCUUAAUAGGAAGUAUUUUGAGUCAUGAGGCAGAUCCCUCAUGAAUGGCUUGGUGCUGACUUCUUGGUAACGAGUGAGAUCUCAUUUUCUUAGUUCCCGGAGGUGCUAGUUGUUAAAUAAAAAGCCCAGUACCUCUCCUCUCUCUCUUGCUCUCUCUCUCACCCCGUGGUCUCUACAUACCAGCUUCCCUUUGCCUCUUGCCAUGAGUAGAAGCAGCCUGAGGCCCUCCCCAGAGGCAGAUGCUGGUGCCAUGCUUCUUGUACAGCCUGCAGAACUGUGAGCGAAAUAAAUCUCUUUUCUUCAUAAAUU